UUUCCAAGUGCCGAAUCAGAAUCUGAUUCUUUGGAUUUCAGUUUGUCAGACGAAGAUUUUCUGACGAGUUCAGGCACCGAUGACGAUCAAGGAGCGACAUCUGAAAAGCGUACGCGGCGAGACGAUGCGGACAUUGAAUAAACCAUGUGUAUUUUGGCCAUAUGUGUUU
rnacentral:lncRNA from 1 species